UAGUAUAGGCAAUUAUACCGUGAAACUGCGAAUGGCUCAUUAAAUCAGUUAUCGUUUAUUUGAUAAUACCUUACUACUUGGAUAACCGUGGUAAUUCUAGAGCUAAUACAUGCUGAAAAUCCCGACUUCGGAAGGGAUGUGUUUAUUAGAUAAAAAACCAAUGCCCUUCGGGGCUUUUUGGUGAUUCAUGAUAACUUUACGGAUCGCAUAGCCUUGCGCUGGCGACGGUUCAUUCAAAUUUCUGCCCUAUCAACUUUCGAUGGUAAGGUAUUGGCUUACCAUGGUUUCAACGGGUAACGGGGAAUUAGGGUUCGAUUCCGGAGAGGGAGCCUGAGAAACGGCUACCACAUCCAAGGAAGGCAGCAGGCGCGCAAAUUACCCAAUCCCGACACGGGGAGGUAGUGACAAUAAAUACUGAUACAGGGCUCUUUUGGGUCUUGUAAUUGGAAUGAGUACAAUUUAAACCUCUUAACGAGGAACAAUUGGAGGGCAAGUCUGGUGCCAGCAGCCGCGGUAAUUCCAGCUCCAAUAGCGUAUAUUAAAGUUGUUGCAGUUAAAAAGCUCGUAGUUGAAACUUGGGCCUGGCUGGCGGGUCCGCCUCACCGCGUGCACUCGUCCGGCCGGGCCUUCCUUCUGAAGAACCUCAUGCCCUUCACUGGGCGUGUUGGGGAAUCAGGACUUUUACUUUGAAAAAAUUAGAGUGUUCAAAGCAGGCCUUUGCUCGAAUACGUUAGCAUGGAAUAAUAAAAUAGGGCGUGCGUUUCUAUUUUGUUGGUUUCUAGAGACGCCGCAAUGAUUAACAGGAACAGUCGGGGGCAUCAGUAUUCAGUUGUCAGAGGGUGAAAUUCUUGGAUUUACUGA
rnacentral:rRNA from 1 species